rnacentral:rRNA from 1 species
UAGUCUCGCACAGAUGCAUAUCAAUAAGCGGAGGAAAAGAAACUAACAAGGAUUCCCCUAGUAACGGCGAGUGAAGCGGGAAGAGCUCAAAUUUGAAAUCUUAAAGGGUUUCCCUUUACGAAUUGUAGUUUAAAGAAGUGUUUUCUGUUGAGGUUUUGGUAAAAGUUCUUUGGAAUAGGACAUCAUAGAGGGUGAGAAUCCCGUAUUUGACCUUUACUUUCAACUUUGUGAUACACUUUCAAAGAGUCGGAUUGUUUGGGAAUGCAGUCCAAAAUGGGUGGUAAAUUUCAUCUAAAGCUAAAUAUUGGCGAGAGACCGAUAGCGAACAAGUACCGUGAGGGAAAGAUGAAAAGAACUUUGAAAAGAGAGUUAAACAGUACGUGAAAUUGUCAAAAGGGAAGCGUUUGACACCAGUGUUGUUUUUCUGAAAAUCAAUUAAAGAACUGUUUAUGCUAAGUUGUUUAGACUUUAUCAGCUAUCUGUUUAGUUUUGAGCUUUUCUUUAAUGCACUUUUCAGUUAACAAGUCAACAUCAAUUUCUUUUGCUGUAAAAAAGCUUGAGGAAGGUGGCUUGAGAUUCGUCUUAAGUGUUUAUAGCCUCUUGCCUAUGCAGUCGGAGAGAUUGAGGUCUGCAGCGUAGAUCCUUCGGGGCUAAAUGCAUUUGUGCUAAGUUAUAGCAUUUUAUAGACAACUUGUUGACUAUGAUUUGUCUUGUAGCUUACUCGCUUAUGUUAUUUUACCUACGCUUAGGAUGUUGAUCUGUAGUGCGUGCGC